AUGGAGAGCGCGCUGGCGGUGCCCCGGCUGCCCCCGCAUGAUCCAGGGACGCCGGUGCUGUCGGUGGUGGACAUGCACACGGGCGGCGAGCCCUUGCGUAUCGUGCUGGCGGGGUGUCCGGAGGUGUCUGGGCCCACCCUGCUGGCCAAGCGGCGCUACAUGCGCCAGCACCUUGACCACGUGCGGCGACGGCUCCUGUUCGAGCCCCGAGGGCACCGGGACAUGUACGGGGCGGUCCUAGUCCCGAGCGAGCUGCCGGACGCGCAUCUGGGCGUCCUGUUCCUGCACAACGAGGGCUACAGCUCCAUGUGCGGCCACGCAGUGCUGGCGCUGGGCCGCUUCGCUUUGGACUUCGGGCUUGUGCCGGCGCCCCCUGCGGGCACCCGCGAGGCCCGCGUCAACAUCCACUGCCCCUGCGGGCUGGUGACCGCCUUCGUGGCAUGCGAGGACGGCCGCAGCCACGGACCGGUGCGCUUCCACAGCGUCCCGGCCUUCGUGCUGGCCACAGAUCUCAUGGUGGAUGUUCCUGGACGUGGAAAGGUGAUGGUGGACAUUGCAUAUGGCGGUGCAUUUUAUGCAUUUGUUACUGCUGAAAAGUUAGGACUAGACAUUUGUUCUGCAAAGACCAGGGACCUUGUGGAUGCAGCAAGUGCAGUGACAGAGGCAGUGAAAGCUCAGUUUAAAAUUAAUCAUCCUGAUAGUGAAGACCUUGCCUUUUUAUAUGGAACUAUAUUAACAGAUGGAAAAGAUGCUUAUACCAAGGAACCAACCACCAACAUUUGUGUUUUUGCAGAUGAACAGGUUGACAGAAGUCCCACUGGCUCAGGAGUGACAGCCCGAAUUGCCUUACAGUAUCACAAAGGGCUUCUGGAACUGAACCAGACGAGAGCCUUCAAAAGCAGUGCAACUGGCUCAGUAUUCACAGGGAAAGCUGUGAGGGCUAUCCAACUAUUUAGUGGUAGAACUAGGAUUUGAACUGCAGUCUGUUUGGCCUCAGAACUCCAUGUUUGUUUCUCUCUAUCCCCACGGAAGUCUACAGGGCAACUUCCUGGGAGCUAAGGCUACUAAAAGGUAGAAGCCACAGUACUCAUCUGCAGAGGGCUUACAGCCUCAGCAAGGACCUUGUGGCUUUGUAACAACAAUCAGCCAUACCAAGUUUACUUGUGGAGAAGAAAAUGUGUAGCACUUUCAGAAGAGGCUAUCAAAGAAAAGAGAUGAACUUGGAAGCAAGAGAUACGCAGCUCAGCAUGACAGAGACUCCAUUCCAGGUGGAAAAAGCCAUGGCUCUUUCUUCUCUGAGAUCCCAGGACUAUCUUAUUUUCCUCAGAGGGGCAGGUUACAAGAACUUCACAUCUCUCAGACUACAUGUUGCAGAGGUUAAAUUCCAGGGGUUAUUUGUCUCAACAAGUCAAGGAAAGAGCAGCCCAAGAAUACCAUCAGAGAUGCAGCUUUCCAGGCCUCCAUCCUGGACUUGCAGGUUUCAUAUUGACAUACGUUUGCAAGAUGACUUGCACUUCCAGGUCUCCACUCUCCAUUCCAAGAAAGAGAAAAGGGAGAAUGAGGGCUUUUUCCAAAAAGUUUUGUCUUUCUAAUCAGGAAGACAUGACCUUCCCAGAGAUGUCUGAUUACAUCUUAUUGCCAGAACUAUAUCACAUGGCUAUCCUCAAGUGUUAGGGAGAUUGAAAAAUUGAAAGUUUUUAGCAGAGUGCAUUUUCCUCCCCCUAAAUAGUGUUAUGAUGAUCACUUUUGGUGAACAGAAUGUGGCAGAAGUGAAGAUGUCUUAAAUAUUAGCACAAAAAAAGGUAUUGACUGUGGCUUUCUCACUGCUCUUUCUCAAGUCAGUUAUUCUGGGGAACCCAACUGCCAUGUUGUGAGGACACUCAAGCAGCCCUAUGGAGGAGCCCACAUGGUGAGGUACUGAGGCCUCUUGCCAACACCCAUAUGAGUGAGCCAUCUUGGAAGCAGCUCCAGCUGACAUCUUAAUUACAACCCCCUAAGAGACCUGUAUCAGAACUACCCAGCUAAUCUGCUCCAAGUUUCUGACUCACAGAAGCUUUGAGAGGAUAAUUGUUUUAAGCUGCUAAAUUUGGAGCUAGCUUGUUACACAACAAUAAUAACUAAUACACUUAGUAGAAAUAAGAAUGGGUUCACGAAACAUUUCAGUUAUAUAUGAGUGUGUGCUAGGUCUCAGUGUAAAAUGAACCCCUUCUUACAGGUUGCAGUAAAAAACAAAAUGGAAAAUUGUGCACAAAACAAACCAAGCAACAGUUUUCUACUCUGAGGUCUUGCUGCUGCCUUCCUGAGGUCUACAUGGGAAUCAAGACGCAGGUCCUCUUUGCUUUCAGGUGCCCCAAACUUAUUAGUGGCUCAUGCAGCCUUUAUUGCCCCAUCAUUCUAUAGCUAGGCCAGUCACCAAGGGUGGGCAGGGAUACACAGGGUACAAGGACACUUCUCAGAGCUUUAUUUACAUCUAAAUUCUCCUUGAUUUUUUUUUUUUUUUUUUUUGAGAUGGAGUCUUGCUCUGUCACCAGGCCGGAGUGCAGUGGUGCGAUCUUGGCUCACCGCAAUCUCCGCCUACAGGGUUCAAGUGAUUCCCCUGCCUCAGCCUCCCAUUAGCUGGGACUACAGGCAUGCACCACCAGGCCCAGCUAAUUUUUUGUAUUUUAGUAGAGAUGGGGUUUCACCAUGUUGGCCAGGAUGGUGUCAAUCUCCUGACCACGUGAUCUGCCUGCCUUGGCCUCCCUAAGUGCUGGGAUUACAGGUGUGAGCCACCGCACCCGGCCUCUCCUUGAUUUUCUAAGCUCCUCUCAUCCAACCUGAAAACAUCUUUAUCUAGUCUUUAGGAUAGUCAUCCUGGCUUUUACAGCUUUGUGUGUUCUCUUGGACUUAUUAUCUUGAUUUAAAACCUUCCUAUUUAAAGCAGGGCCAAAAUUUUAACAAACCAAAGACCUCUCUGUUUUUGGCACAACCUCCUUUAGUUCAGAAAAUCCUAAAGGUAAAGGAAGUCCUGUGCGUACAAGGAAAUACAGUGGAAAAAGCCCUCAAAUAAUAUUUGAAAAUGUUAUUCACAUAUUGUCUUUAUUUCAACUCAGAUUCCUUUCUCAUUCCAUUUUUAUCUGGCUCCUACACUCAUUGCUUCACAGAAUUAGUCACAGAAUAGGUCACAAAUGACCUAAAUCCAGUGAAUACUUCUCAGCCAUCUUACUUGACCUUGCCAAACAUAAACCACGUGUAUUAGUCAGGGUUCCCACAAUAGGCUGUCUGCAGGCUGAGGAGCAAGGAGAGCCAGUCCAAGUUCCAAAAUUGAAGAACUUGGACUCCAGUGUUCAAGGGCAGGAAGCAUCCAGCACAGGAGAAAGAUGUAGGCUGGCAGGCUAAGCCAGUCUCUGUUUUCACAUGUUUCUGCCUGCUUAGAUUCUAGCAGUGCUGGCAGCUGAUUCGAUUGUGCCCACCCAGAUUAGGGGUGUGUCUGCCUUUCCCAGCCCACUGACUCAAAUGUUAAUCUCCUGUGGCAACACCCUCACAGACACACCCAAGAUCAAUACUUUGCAUCCUUCAAUCCAAUCAAGUUGACACUCAAUAUUAACUAUCACAUCAUAGUUGGCCCCACUUCCCUUUUGGAAAUGUUCUUGUCCUGGUGUUCAUGUUUUUACUCUUUCUUGGUUUUCCGCUAACCACUCUGAUCGUUCAUUCCUUCCUAACCUCUUUGACUACUUUCUCUGCUUCCCCAUCUUACAUUUUAAAAAUUACUUUAAAAAUAGGUAAUAUGUGCACGAUAUGAAUUUGAAAAGGUACAAAAGGGUACAGAGUGAAAAAUAAAUGUUUCCCUUUUCCUUCCUGCCCUUGACAACUAAAACCUGCCAAUCAUCAAGUCCCUUUUCCCCAAUCUGUUGCUCUUCAACCCCAAAGUCAUUAUCUAGGCCAGCCUCUUAUCACUAAUUUCAAUGGACUUGAUGAUGUAGUUCUGGGUUCUCCAUGAGAAACCCACUUUAACAUCCAUCACAAAAUAUUUUGGAGUUCCCAGUUGGUCUUCCACAUGUACUCAAGAAAAUGUCUAUUCCUAUGGUCUCUGUGUUACUCUGCCAGGCACCAUUGUUAAUCCAAGUAGCUCUGCCAAGAACAGUAGCUAUAAGCAAGAAGAGAUUGUGCUUAGUGGACAGCAUUCUUCAAACAUGGCAUCUUUUCAACUUUUUUUGGUAGGCUUUAUUUUUCAGAGCAUCUUUAGGUUCACAGCAAAAUUGAGUGAAAAUACAGAGAUUUCCCAUUUAUUCUCUGCCCCAACACAUGCAAAACCUCACCUGUUACCAAUAUCCCCCACCAGAGAGGUACAUUUGUUAUAAUCAAUAAACCUACAAUGACACAUUGCUAUCACCCAAAGUCCAUAGUUUACAUUAGGGUUCAUUCACUCUUCGUGUUGUACAUUCUAUGGGUUUUGACAAAUGUCAUAACAUGUAUUUAUAAUUAUAGAAAUAUGUAGAAGAGUUUUAUUGCUCUAAAAUUCCUCUGUGCUCCAUCCAUUCAUCCCUUUCUUCUCCCAGUCUCUUGAAACCACUGCUACUGUUACGGUCUCCAUGGUUUUGCCUUUUCCAGAAUGUCAUAUAGUUGGAAUCAUACCGUAGGAAGCCUUUUCAGAUUGGCUUUUUUCGCUUAGUAAUAUGCGCUUUAGGUUUCUCCAUAGCUUUUCAUGGCUAAAUAGCUCAUUUCCUUUUAGUGCUAAUAUUCCAUUGUCUGGAUGUACCAUAGCUUAUUUAUCUGCUUAUUUACUGAUGGCAUCUUGGUUGCUUCCAAUAUUUUGCAGUUAUUAAUAAAGCUGCUAUAAACA